GCUCGGGUCGCUUAGCUUGGUAUAGCGCCAGCCUGGAAAGCUGGUUUCCUUCGGGAUGCGUGUGUUCGAAUCACACCCCGAGCGCCA
rnacentral:tRNA from 1 species